AGUGAACGCUGGCGGUAGGCCUAACACAUGCAAGUCGAACGGCAGCACAGUAAGAGCUUGCUCUUACGGGUGGCGAGUGGCGGACGGGUGAGGAAUACAUCGGAAUCUACUUUUUCGUGGGGGAUAACGUAGGGAAACUUACGCUAAUACCGCAUACGACCUACGGGUGAAAGCAGGGGACCUUCGGACCUUGCGCGAUUGAAUGAGCCGAUGUCGGAUUAGCUAGUUGGCGGGGUAAAGGCCCACCAAGGCGACGAUCCGCAGCUGGUCUGAGAGGAUGAUCAGCCACACUGGAACUGAGACACGGUCCAGACUCCUACGGGAGGCAGCAGUGGGGAAUAUUGGACAAUGGGCGCAAGCCUGAUCCAGCCAUACCGCGUGGGUGAAGAAGGCCUUCGGGUUGUAAAGCCCUUUUGUUGGGAAAGAAAAGCAGCAGGUUAAUACCCCGCUGUUCUGACGGUACCCAAAGAAUAAGCACCGGCUAACUUCGUG
rnacentral:rRNA from 1 species